AGGAAGAACGUAGAAGAGGAAAUAAGAGAGGGGAAGGUCUAAGAAGCAUAGAACAAAAAUCAAGAAAAAGAACAAAGAUUUCAACUUGAACUAAGAUACUCAGGUUGUGUAUGUUUGUCGGUGUUCGAGUUGUUGGUGAAGCUCCGCUCUGAUUUUGACACGGGGAAGGAUUAAUAGAGUCUUUAUUUAAUUUAAUUAAAGAUGUAUUGUAUUAAAAAAAGAAUUCUGUAUAAGCGACGUUUAAUAUUUUAUUACAUUAGUAAUGUCUUUGAAGUA